UCAACGAAUCACAAAUUUGCUAUUGGGUUGUAUACAGACUUUGAAAAAGCCCCGAAAUCAAAUAUCCAUGAAAAUAAAAGAUUACCUCAAUCCACGAAAAUUGAUACCCACGAACAUAAAUGAAUUCACAGUAAUGUUAGAGUAGCUAUAGGUGAAACAUGCACACUUAUAAUACGACCGGGAAUUCUCCAGGAUAAUCGUGCAUAUUGGUUCCCCAAUGAUAACUUCUAUUCACACUGUCGCUUGAUAUGUUUCAUAAGGCACCUUUACCAUAAGCC
rnacentral:lncRNA from 1 species